AGCCUUCUGUAUCCGUGCUGUGAUUUCGUCACACACCAGAUCACAAAGGUUAGUGAGACUUCCAAGCUAAGUGAAGCG
rnacentral:pre_miRNA from 1 species